CUUCCUCCCCCAAAACUCUCAAAUUUUCUCCAAUUAUUGUCCAAGGAAAUCCAUAGAAUUUGGUUCACUUUUGGUGGAAUUUCAAUCUUAAGCAUUCAAAGGGUUAAAGAGAAAGAGAGUUGUACAAAGGGAAGACUAAAGUGUUUGUGUUGCUCACAUCUAAGGUAUUAGAUAAGAUGUGGUCGGAUGGAACGUCAGGUAAUAGAGAAGAAAGGCAACACUGUCUGAUUGUACUAAGUGUUUAUGUUUGUAACUUUGUUACUCGACAUAGAGAUUUGUAUAUAAAGUAAAGUUAUUUU